rnacentral:rRNA from 1 species
GGGGGGGGGGGGGGGGGGGGCGGGGGGGGGGAGGGCGGGGGGCGGCGGGGUGGGGGCGUGCGCUGACGGGUGGCGGGUGGCGGACGGGUGAGGAAUACAUCGGAGUCUACUUUUUCGUGGGGGCUAACGGCGGGAAACUUACGCUAAUACCGCAUACGACCUACGGGUGCAAGCAGGGGAUCUUCGGACCUUGCGCGAUUGAAUGACCCGAUGUCGGAUUAGCUAGUUGGCGGGGUAAAGGCCCACCAAGGCGACGAUCCGUAGCUGGUCUGAGAGGAUGAUCAGCCACACUGGAACUGAGACACGGUCCAGACUCCUACGGGAGGCAGCAGUGGGGAAUAUUGGACAAUGGGCGCAAGCCUGAUCCAGCCAUACCGCGUGGGUGAAGAAGGCCUUCGGGUUGUAAAGCCCUUUUGUUGGGAAAGAAAAGCAGCAGGUUAAUACCCCGCUGUUCUGACGGUACCCAAAGAAUAAGCACCGGCUAACUUCGUG